rnacentral:rRNA from 1 species
GCGCACCAGUCGAGAAAGCACGAUGAGGGAAUCCCAAGUGCUUGCUCGUAAGAGUAAGCUGUUUCUCUGUCUAAAACGCAGAGAGAGUAAGGGCUGGGUAAGACGGGUGCCAGCCGCCGCGGUAAUACCUGCAGCUCGGAGUGGUGGCCGCUAUUAUUGGGCCUAAAACGUCCGUAGCCGGUUUAUUAAAUGGCCUGGGUAAAUCGGACCGCUUAACGGUUCGAAUUCCGGGUAGACUGAUAAACUUGAGACCGGGAGAAGCUAGAGGUACUCCUGGGGUAGAGGUGAAAUUCUGUAAUCCUAGGGGACCACCAGUGGCGAAGGCGUCUAGCUAGAACGGGUCUGACGGUGAGGGACGAAGCCCUGGGGCGCAAACGGGAUUAGAUACCCCCGUAGU